CGUGGUCUUAGUGAAAGGGCGUGUUGUCGUAAGGGAAACUUGAAUGAUUGACAGACAUGCGGAUACGGUCCUCACUCAGUGGCUCAUUUAACUGCACCCAACUUGCCCAUUUGUUUUGGAGGAGUAAGAGUCACAUGUUCCUGUGUUAAAUGAGAACCCUACAGCCCUUUCAUUCCUGCCUGGGAUCCCAUAUGAGAGUUGGAAGCCUGGAGCUGGACCACAACAUGAAUUCUUGUCAGCGUUGUAUAAGUUUCACCCCAAGGGCAAUCAGGAGAAGAAAUCUCUCCAGGAGUUUGUGGCUGAUAAUGGUGCAUAUGCCAUGUUCCAUACUGUUAUGAUGUCAACUAAGGCCUUCAGAAGCUUUCCUCUGAAGAAACAUGUCAAUAAGAGACAUGGGGAGAAAUACUCGGAUACUAAGGGUAUUCUGAUGAAGCAAAAAAGAAAAUGAGCAAACAACACAGCUGACUAAAAAUGUUUAAUAUACAAAAUAAAAUAAUGGUUUGAAUGAUAAUAUUGCACUUAAACCUUACUUGAUUUCAAGAAGCUCAAACACUAAUUAGUUGUUAUGGUAACAGUGAUGAUGGUUUGACUUGUUAAUUGAUUUGCCAAUUUAUUGAUGCAGCUUAAUGUGUUUCUUAGUUGGUCUGAAAAAGUAUUGUAUAUAUGAAAGCACUCACCUUUAUUUCAAAUCCUCUAUCUGCUUGCAGGGUGAUGAUCCAUUUCAAUUCAUUGUUCUCUGUUUUGUUAACAACACAUCCUCCCCUAAUACUCUUAGAAGUUAAUCGUACCACUCUAAAGAGAAAAGUAUGAUUAAUAUUGGACGCAACAUGUUUACUCAGUGCAUUCAUUUUAACAUUUCUUCUAAUUUUACCCAGAUGCUCUAGAAUUCUUUCUCUAAAACUACGAUUAAUCUUUCCAGCUUAAAAACAUGGGCAAUCCCUACAGGUGGUAAGAUACACCAGAUCUUCACUUUUGUAAUCAGCAUAGAAUCUAAAUUCAUACUUAAUAUUAGUAGUGGGAUGUACAAAGAAUGGAGUACCUAUAAUAUAAUCAAAAGCCUUACAACUACGGCAAGGUUAGGUACCUAACCUAGACGAUAACGGUCAUUCAACACAUAACGAAUUAUGUUUAAAGCAAAGUCUCUACAUAAGAUUCCUUGCAUUUUUAAAAUAGAAGCUUGGUUGCAUCCAUACGAUCUUUUUUAGCUCCUCGUCAAUCAGUAAAAUGGGCCAAUUCCUUUUUAUAACCAUACAAACAUCACUCACAUUAUUAGAAAAAGUAAGUCCUAUUUUGGGUUGUCUGCAACUUAUAUGUUUGACAGUAUCAGUCCUCUCCUUCCUUUCAGAAAAAUAGGGCCUCCCUUGUGUCUCCCACAAUUCCAUAACCUCUGACUGUGGCAACAUCAUUAACUUCUUUAUAACCAUAGCCUCUCUCCUAAAACUCAGUACUGAGGUUAUCAAAAGGCUAAGAGUAUUAGGGGAGGAUGUGUUGUUAACAAAACAGAGAACAAUGAAU